UGAAUCUCAUUGCUUGAGAUUGUGUAUACAAAUAUUUUAAAGAAAUCUACUUUUUAGGAGAAUGUCUUUGCCUAUUGUCGAACCAGAUGACUCCGAUGCUAUCAAGACUCAAUCACAAUUAACUUAUUCCAUAUAUGAUAAAAGGAAUUAGAAAACUUAGUUACUUUUGUUCAGCAAAUGACUAUUUUGUACUCACUAGACCAUCGUGAUUGGAAUGAAGAAACAGUUAAUGUAAUAAGACUUUGGUUUUAAAUCCCAGCAAAAUAGUGCUAACUAUUUUUAUGACUCCAAUAUUAUAACUGCUUGUCUGGGCUUUCCAGUUGCGCCUAUUCUUGAUAUAAGUUACUUCAUACGCUCGCCGAACCAAAUACUUAAAAUUGACACAUUCUAUGACUACGUCAACUUUGGAACAAUACAUAACGAUGUCGAUGGAUGUUUGUUACGAAUUUUAGAGCUAGCUUAUGCACCAGUAUUCCGAAAUUACUCGGAGUGGGAUGACAAUAUUAAGCAACGUUUUUGUAAAUCACUAGAUAAAUUUUUAGUGUAUUUAACUGGAAUGCAUUUUAGGAUGUCCGGUAUGACUGUGUUAUAUAUACCUUAUAUUGUAAGACAAAUUGUGCAUGAAAAUGUAUCAUAUGAUCCAGAAUUUGUGAAAAAUUUAGAGUCAACUGCCGUUUUUGGGCGACACAAAUACGUUAUCUUCUAAAUGAUAAAAAUUUAAUGGUUUCUAACGAUUUUGUAGUACUCGAGGACGAGUACGAAUUUUGGCUAUAUCGAUUUGAAGUUUUGCAGGCUUUGAAUACGCAAUUAAACCAAAUUGAUGUACAGAGCAUAAUACGAAUUUUACGUAAUUCGCAUUCUGUCUAUAUUAAACAAAUCGAUGAACUUAUGUACGAGUCCACCUACGAAAUGAAUAGGGCAAUGUCUAAUAUUAAAUAUCUGCAUUUGUUAAUGAACGCUUGUGAAGAAAUUAAUCGAACUGAAAGUACUGCAAUCUUAACGCAACUAUUACCCCGACUUAUUAAUCUCAUUCAAUUCAUUUCGGUAAAUUCAGAUCAUUACAAUACCCGUGAUUUAAUUACCGGUCUAUUUAGAGAUUUAAGUAAUCGAAUAAUACGGUUUUGUACAGAUAUGGUUAAGCUGGAUAAAAUCCUUUCUGGUAGUUCCCGAUUUGGUAUGAAAAUAUGUAAUUUGUCUCUCAACUGUUGUCUGACCUACAAAGGAAUUUAUAGCAUUAUGACAAAAGAAAAUUCAACAUAUGAUCGAAAGUUAGUUUGGAAUCUGGAUAAUGCAAUGAUUUUUAAUCACGUUGAUGCAUUCAUGGAACGCCUGAAUGAUGUUAUAGAUAUAUGCCAGUCAAUGAUAGUUUUUGGUCGUUUAGAUGAAGGCGAAAGUAUUCCAAAACCACAAUUUUGUGGAACCUCUGGACCAGAUUUUGAAAAACUACUGAGGCCGUAGAAACCCAGUUUCUCUCUAUUUUAUUUGCGCUUAAUUCAGAUUCAAAAGACCUAAUAUUAAAUGUCCAUAAGAACGAUUGGUAUGAAGAAGUUCUUAAAUAUCGUCGUACAGUUCAGAGCUUGGAUGAAACUGUUCAGCGCUUAAUAUCUAAUGUUUUUCUGCACGUUUGUAAUGUAGAAGAAGCAAUUGAAUCGUUGAAUGUAAUGCUCUUUUAUUCAUAUCGCAGUUCGAUUAGGAAGUCGUAUUUACGUCAAGUAUCAGAGGUGUGGUUAUUGCUUUGUAAUGAAAUCGAUACAACAUCUAUUUUUUGAUGGAUCGAAGUAAAUUUCGUGAAAUUUGGAUUCCAUAUUAUGCGUCAAGAGCUAUUAGCUAUCAGAUUAAUAUAGAGCGGCUUACAUGGCUUCAUAAUCGCCUAAAUUCUUCUGAGUGGCUACCAUAUGUAUCGGAGGCUUUCAUAGUGUUAAAUAAAUUUGAAACUGUAAGAAAAGAAUUUGAUAAAGAGAUGCACAAGUCUUAUGAAGAAUGGCAAAAGAAUUGUUGUAGUACCAUACUAGUUCAGAAGCUCGACAAGUUUUUGCUUGCACGUAGUAAAAAAAAAAGGUCUACUUGAGUGCAAUAUCGAUCCGAGUAUUUUAAGCAUUUGCGAGCAUGCUCAGCACUUUUCCCGGCUGGGAUUUUCAGUUCUAGGAUCAGUGCGUAAAAUCUAUGAAAAACAAGAAUCUCUUCGCUUCGUCUAUAAUAGCGUUUUGGAAGUUUGCUUGAACUAUAAUCAUAUUCUUUCAGCACUAUCAGAGCAGGAGAGAAAGUUCUUUCGAUCAUUAAUACAGGCUUGUGAUAGAAAAAUUGCUCCGGGAGUUUUUAAAUUAAGUUAUGGUGGCGACUUAAGCGAUGCCUAUAUUGCUGAUUGUGCAAAACAUACCAAUAUGCUUCAAGAAACAAUGGAUCUGUAUAAACGUGCCAACAGAAAUAUAGCAAGAACAUGCGAAAAAAUUUGCAAUACUCCAAUUUUGAAGUUUACGUUUUCAGGUGCUGUUCCCAUUUCAGUUUUGAUGGUCAAUUAUCAAUUAUAUUCGAAGUGUUCGUCAUACACUUCGUGGUUACUAUAAUACCAUCACGGAUUUACUUUUGCUGUUUUCAUGAAAUUCCAACCAGUAAUCGAAGAUGUAAGUAAUUAUAAUUUAUUUUUAAACGA